CAAUGGGUCAACUCAGGUUAGCUAUCAAAUCUCAUUGUUAUUCAAAUGAUAAACUAAACUGUACAAACAAUUGUCACUACCUAAUAUUUUAAGAAACAUUAUUUUACGAUAUUUAUACUAUUUGGAAAUACUGUAUUCCUUAUGAUGUAUUUUGGAAGCUUUUUAAAACAUGAAUUUAAACAGACAUUCCUGAGGUCCUACAAAGCAGCAGCCAUCUUCGACGGAGGUGAGAAUGGUGCAAGUGAUAAACGAGUUAAUUGGGGCAAAAUACAUUGCCAUCGCCAGGACGUGGGUUCCCACGAUGGUUGGUUGGGGAUCAGUGGGAGGAGUUGCCCUUGUCCACAUCAUGGAUUGGAGGCUGAUCUUGGAUUGUGUCCCCUAAAUCAAACGGAAAGUUCAAGGACAACUAGUCACCUCUGGCUCAGAAUUGUGAACAUAAAGCAACUGAACAACCCUUUCCGGGCCGGUAGUUGGAUUGGAGGCUGAUAGCUAUUGAGUGGCCAACAGAUGGCACUGUCGUUAAAUAACUUUUCAGUUGUCCCCUAAGAAUAUAGACUAGCAAAUGAAUGAAUAAAUUACUGGACCGCUAAUGACUGGACUGUGUGUCUGUCUGCAGGACUACAACUUGGGGAAGGGAAUGGUGGAAUGCUUGCUCUUUCUGCGUUGCGAAAGUGUGAUGCUCUGACACACCUAUCAUUCAGGGCUUGUAGAAGUCUUCCCAAAGGGAUGUCUAGUUAGAUUGAAUGCUGUUUUGUUCCAAUGUCAUUUAAUGUGAAUAAAUAUUUUAUUUACUUA